rnacentral:rRNA from 1 species
UGGGGAAUCUUGGACAAUGGGGGAAACCCUGAUCCAGCCAUGCCGCGUGAGUGAUGAAGGCCUUAGGGUUGUAAAGCUCUUUUGGCGGGGACGAUAAUGACUGUACCCGCAGAAUAAGCCCCGGCUAACUUCGUGCCAGCAGCCGCGGUAAUACGAAGGGGGCUAGCGUUGUUCGGAAUUACUGGGCGUAAAGCGUGCGCAGGCGGCUAUUCAAGUCAGGGGUGAAAGCCCAGAGCUCAACUCUGGAAUU